rnacentral:misc_RNA from 1 species
GAUGAAGAACGCAGCGAAAUGCGAUAAGUAAUGUGAAUUGCAGAAUUCAGUGAAUCAUCGAAUCUUUGAACGCACAUUGCGCCCGCCAGUAUUCUGGCGGGCAUGCCUGUUCGAGCGUCAUUACAACCCUCAGGCCCCCGGGCCUGGCGUUGGGGAUCGGCGGAGCCCCCCGUGGGCACACGCCGUCCCCCAAAUGCAGUGGCGGUCCCGCCGCAGCUUCCAUCGCGUAGUAGCUAACACCUCGCGACUGGAGAGCGGCGCGGCCACGCCGUAAAACACCCAACACUUCUGAAGUUGACCUCGAAUCAGGUAGGAAUACCCGCUGAACUUAAGCAUAUCAAUAAGCGGAGGA